CCCAGACUCCUACGGGAGGCAGCAGUGGGGAAUAUUGGGCAAUGGGCGCAAGCCUGACCCAGCAACGCCGCGUGAAGGAAGAAGGCUUUCGGGUUGUAAACUUCUUUUAAGAGGGAAGAGCAGAAGACGGUACCUCUUGAAUAAGCCACGGCUAACUACGUGCCAGCAGCCGCGGUAAUACGUAGGGGGCAAGCGUUAUCCGGAUUUACUGGGUGUAAAGGGGGCGCAGACGGCAAUGCAAGCCAGGAGUGAAAGCCCGGGGCCCAACCCCGGGACUGCUCUUGGAACUGCAUGGCCGGAGUACAGGAGGGGCAGGCGGAAUUCCUAGUGUAGCGGUGAAAUGCGUAGAUAUUAGGAGGAACACCGGUGGCGAAGGCGGCCUGCUGGACUGUGACUGACGUUGAGGCCCGAAGGCGUGGGGAGCAAACAGGAUUAGAUACCCCCGUA
rnacentral:rRNA from 1 species